UGGGGAAUAUUGCACAAUGGGCGCAAGCCUGAUGCAGCCAUGCCGCGUGUAUGAAGAAGGCCUUCGGGUUGUAAAGUACUUUCAGCGGGGAGGAAGGGAGUAAAGUUAAUACCUUUGCUCAUUGACGUUACCCGCAGAAGAAGCACCGGCUAACUCCGUGCCAGCAGCCGCGGUAAUACGGAGGGUGCAAGCGUUAAUCGGAAUUACUGGGCGUAAAGCGCACGCAGGCGGUUUGUAAGUCAGAUGUGAAAUCCCCGGGCUCAACCUGGGAACUGCAUCUGAUACUGGCAAGCUUGAGUCUCGUAGAGGGGGGUAGAAUUCCAGGUGUAGCGGUGAAAUGCGUAGAGAUCUGGAGGAAUACCGGUGGCGAAGGCGGCCCCCUGGACGAAGACUGACGCUCAGGUGCGAAAGCGUGGGGAGCAAACAGG
rnacentral:rRNA from 1 species